rnacentral:misc_RNA from 1 species
AAGUCGUAACAAGGUUUCCGUAGGUGAACCUGCGGAAGGAUCAUUAACAUUUGAUUUGAUAUCUUUUGAAUAUAAUUUAGGUAUGGUUUAUUGGUUUCUUAGAAAUCAAAAUCCAUUCCUAAAUUCCCACCCCACAAAUGUGCAUGAGUGUGAUAUGAUGUGUAUGGUGUAUGGUGUGAUUGUGAUGAGUUAGGAUUUAUUUCUUAUCUUAUCUUAUCUAAUCUAAUCACUUCACUCAUAUCUCUUUUUUUUCUUCUUUAAUUUCAAAACCCCUUUUAUACUACUAUAUUUUUGACAUGAUUUCAAUCAUUAUAGUAAGUAAAGACACUUCCAAGUGUUCUUUAUUUAUUUAUCAAUCAUAAAUACAACUCUUAGCAACGGAUAUCUAGGCUCUC